rnacentral:lncRNA from 1 species
AUCUCCCCAAUCCCUAUCAUUCACAUUAAUAAUAAACCAUGCACGAUCAGGCGUGUAUCCCAAAAGAAAAAAAAAGCACUAAUCCAAUUAAAUUCCUCGAACUAAAACAAUGUAAAAUGUAAAAUCAAAUUUACAAAGAGGACAGGGUAUCGGAUUAUGUUUGCGUUAUUAUAUACUAGCACUCCUUAUAUACCUAAUUUUCAAUUCGUUUAAAUCAAGACACAUAAUUUUUUGGUCUGAUAACUUUUCUGUAGCCCUAUUAUAUAGUGUGCCUGCCUUUUAUAAAUAUAAUCCAAUAACGAGGAUGAUUACAAAUAGUCUAUAUGAUUAUAUAUAGCAUAUCUACGUUCUUCCGGCACUCAAAUAUAUUUCCAUUUGCAUUUAUAAUUUAUUUGACAUAAUUUAUGGGUGAUGCAUUUAUUUCAAAUUAUCAACACAUCUUCUCAAACCUAAUUCUUGGGCAAAUCAACCGUAAUCAAUAAGAACAUAUACCAUAUUUAAUGUUCAUCGUCACAUGCAAUUUGUUUUCAAACAAAUUAAUUGUUUACUCGUAUUAACUUUACAUUAGAUGUUUUUAUUAUAUGGUGUUGACUAUAUCAUACAUUAAUGCUCAACAUAAACCGAACGUAUAACAGGAUAUAACAUUAUCGUUAGAGUCCAGACGACUUAAAGUAGAACAAAAGGGUCAAAACUCAAAAGCCGCACGUAGAAGUCUUUGAUCUAUGCGGACGUAAAAAAAUAUUGUGACAUUUUGCAUGGAACCAUCCGCAUACACAAAACCCUGGGCGUUAUGACAGCAUGCCAUAACUGAUUCUUGUAAUUUGUAAAACCCUAUUUCUUAUAGAAAUGUUUAGAUUUAUAUGUUUAGCCAUUUAGGACGUUUAGGUUAUUAUUUAUUUGUUUUAUUUUUAAUAUUUUACCUUUCGCACCCAAAAAAUAUUUUUGUUGUUGUUAAGUUUACAUGGAAAAAUAUAAAAAUUGGAAUAUGCAUUAUAUUUUAUUUUAAUAUAUGUAAACAAAAUGAACGAUUCUUACGAAUAGGAAAGAAAAAUACAUUUUUUGUGGUAAUUUACAUAUGAAAAUUCUGUUGAUUUUGUUACCAUAUGAAAAUUUUGGUAAACGAACUAGUAUGUUUUUCAGUGGGCUGACGCAUUCGUAAUUCAUAUGGUUUGAUAGAUCAUAGAUGUAUGAUAAAAUUUAUGUUAAAUUGACAAGUAGAUAUAUACUUCAAUGCAUAUACUUGAAUUCCGCAUUUAUAAUCGGUUCACAAUUAUUUAAUGGAAACGGGUAGACAAGUACUGACUAUUUAAUUCUUCCACCAGGAAAUAGCAACUAAUUUAUGUCAGAAAAUAAUUAUAUAUAUUAACUGAGAGACUUAGAAUUAUGAUUCCAUCUAACCGUGUAGGUUUAUUAGGUUAUCCAUAAUUCGUUGUAGCUUUCAUACAAUUUUCAUAAAAAGUAUAUUUUAAUUUAUGAAAUAAAGUUUAUAGUACGAAUUAAAUUGAAGAGAAGAGACAUGGAUCUUAAUUCAUUGUAGUUGCAUGCAUGGAGGAUCGGAUGUUGGAAGCUUUAAAAGCUGGUUCUCCCAUCCUUUGAAAGUUUAUUGUACGUUAUUUUACUGUAAUAUUUUCUAUAUUAAUGUAAAAUUUAUAUUUUAUAUAUUUUCACAAUUUGUUUUUAUGCAUGAGUUUAAACUUUAAAGUUUUUAGACCAUUUCCAGUGAAACACUACUUUUUUUUAUAUAUUUCAUUCUAAAAUAGAAUUAUUGUAAUAUAGAAAAAAAAUAGUGUUACAUUGUAGAUAUAGACCGGUUUCUUCGAUUCCAUUUAUAUUUGUGUAUUGAUCUAUUGGUCUAUCACUAGUUGAAGUAUCAUCAAAAUUAUAUAACAGAUGCAAAAAAAAAAUGAAUGACAAUUAUUAUUUUACUUGAGUUUAGUAUUUUUUACCAAUGGUAUUUUGUUAAAUUUUUUAUUUUGCAAUAUAUAUAGAUACUACUGUAUCAAAAAUUCUAUUAAUAAUUAUUCCUUUCAAUUCGUCUAUUCAUUUUUCUAGUUAUACAACAACCUAUAUGGAAUGAAAAGAAUUAAGCAUUCAAAAAGAUUUUAUUCCAAAGAAAAUACAAUCCAGUUGCACCCAUGAUGUCUUCUAUAAACACAUUCAGUGUAAUUUAAUUCACAACGUUAAAGACAAUCAACAUAUGAAACCCUAAAAGAAAAUAUGGCUUAUGCGUUCCGUGAUGAAAGGAGUUUCAAGGCUCCUAAUCAAAUGUUGUAGUAUAAAGGAUGUCAAACCAGUUCUAAGUGAUUCUAAAGCAAAGGGAAUGCAAGACCAUGCUUAAUCUAAGUGCUACCAGUUUUUGAGAUGUUUUUAAACUAGAUUACUACCUAAAAUGCAAUAAAGGACAAAGCUUUCUUUCUUAUAAGAAGGGAGAACUCAUGGGCUAUGGGAAUCGAUCUUGGGUGAUCAAGAUUCAACCUAAAGGUGUCAACUUUGAACCAAUCUAUAUCUACCUUAGACCUAGACACAAUCCUAAACAAACUCUAUCCCUAGAUGAAUGCUCAUUUACCUAGAUAACUCAAGCAUCAAAUCCCUUUGGUUGAAUGUUAUCUAGGUAAUCAUUAAUCACAAGUCUACUAGCCAUCUUAACACCUUUAACAACAAAUCCCUUUGGUAAAGGAUGUUAAAAGCUUAGGAGAGUUGGUUCAGGCAUUUCAUCAAACACCUUCCGGGUAUGAAAUGCCUAGAGCUCAACUUUAGAGAGGCCAACUCUAAAGUUGCAUUAAAAGCCCUCUACUAGCAAGGAAUAAGAUUGAUCUACACCUAAACACCUUAGAUCUAGCUUAAUCACCCUUAAUCUCCCUAACCCAUGAAUCCAAAGAUGACUACUCACUAUUUCCAUGAUGAGCCCAAGAAUCAAAGAUGAUUUGGUGCUAAUCAUGAUUAGUGAUCAAGAUAAUCAAGCAAUCACAAGAGAAAAAUGAUCAAGAUAGGAUCUUUCACCUAAAAGUUCUUUUGUGAUUAGAUAGAAAACAAGAUAAGAUCCUACAAUUAGGUUUAGAGAGUAUUUAUGUGACUUCUAAAACCUAAUGGGCUUAAUUAAUCACUUCAAAAGCCCAAAUAAAACAUAAGUUUUCGACAUAAGAUAAAACGCGGCGCGGGUGCACUAGGUCGCUCCCAUAGGUCGCUCCGAAACACAUGCUUCACCUCUCCAAAACGCGCGCGGGUUGAUGACGUCGCUCCAGAGGUCGCUCUGCAUCCGCCGCGGGUGAGUGACGUCGCUGCCAUAGGUCGCUCCGCAUAAUGAAAGUCGUCGACAAGAAGUUGGGCUUGGAGCGGGUGUAUCACCUCGGUGCAAGACGUCGCGCCAGCCUUCGAUUCUUCUGGAGCGGGUGUAUCACCUCGGUGCAAGACGUCGCGCCAGCCUUCGAUUCUUCUGGAGCGGGUGUAUCACCUCGGUGCAAGACGUCGCGCCAGCCUUCGAUUCUUCUGGAGCGGGUGUCGCACGUCGCUCCCGUACCCCGCUCUGGUGCUUUGCUCGCCUAAACAGCAUUUUCCACUCCCUUUUUGAUCCCAAAUGCUUCCAAGUACCCCUAAUAUCUCCAAUGGAAACUCCAAAACCUGAUAGAGACUUAUGCAGUGCAAAAAGAGACUAAAAUGCAUGAUUCCUAAUCUAGAUGAUCAAAACAUGCAAGAAAUAGAGGGUUAAAACAAUGUAAUUAUGCAAGAUAUCAACUCCCCCAAACUUGUAUCUUACUUGUCCUCAAGUGACUUGUAAGAACUCAUAGGGAGAGAGGUUUGAAAGUGGGAACUCAUAGCCAAAAGUAACACUUCCUAGCACUCAACUUAACAUCCUAAAGAAACAUAACAAAUAGCAUGAGCAUUCUCCUUAUUAUACUCUAGCUUCUCUAGGCCUAUCCAUACUCUUUUUUUCCUCUACUCAAGUUGUAAUACUCUUUACCAACAAGUCCUUUCAAUCAGCUCUCACAUUGAUUCACACACACACACACAAGGUGAAGUCUCACAAAUGGGCACAUGAUCUCAAUCAUUUGGCUAGGCAUGCAAUGGUCUAAUAUGAAUGAAGAGAUGGGUUCAAAUGUUUUUAUUUAAGGGUGGUUAUCACUCAAAACAAGGAGCUUGAUCAUUAUGCAAAAUUUAUCUAAGAUUAGAAGCAACUUAUGCAUACAUAGAUUCCUUCUCAUCAUUCUACCCCAUUUUGUUGUAAAUGAUCACAAGUUCUACCCUCUUUAUCAUCAUCUCAAAAUCAAUCUAAACCCCCUCACAUCACUCACCCAAUGUACAACUCUCUUUUCUUUUCAUUUGACACACUCACUAGGGAUUUUAAUCCACUUUCCACAAGCUCUAACCUUUUUUUCAUUUCUUUCCCCACUUUUUUUUUUUUUUUUUUUUUUUUUUUUUUUUUUUAGGGGAAGGUUCUUUGUUACAUAAUCAAGAGCUUCUCUUUUUUUUUUUUUUAUAUAUAUCCCUAGGAGCUUUAUUUUCAUAUCUCUCAUCUUUCUCACUCUCCAAACCCAAGAUAUUGAAAUUUAAAACACACAAACCCCUCUCACAUCCCCAAAUGCUAACUCAUUGUGCUAGCAAGAGAUGAGAAUAAACCUAUGUCGCCUCCAAUACUCUCAAGAUUUUGCACAUGACAAGCUAUCAAAAGAGGCCUCACUCAUGCAAUUAAAUGUUUGGUCUCAAGGAAUGGUUAGGGUUUUAGGGUAAGGAGUGCCAUUUGGGUUAACAAAGAUAGGUAUGAAGGAAUAAGAUAACCCAAAUGUGUGUGAGAUCCAUGAUCAAGUAUGCGAAUGCCCAUAUGCAAGAGAAAUUAAGUUCAUUCAAGCCAAGUUUAGAUUGGAGCUGAUCUUAAGAACAAUGCUAACAUCAAGCAAGCAAACAAGUUUCAAGAAGAGUUUUCAAGGCUCGAAGCGUGCAAGGUUUUCAAGAGAUGCUUAAGCUACUUGAUAUGUUUAACUAGGGUGUCAUUUUGAGUUCUAGACAAGGGUUCUUUGCAAGGCAUUUUAAAUCAUCGUUCCCAAUGCAAGUGAAUGCAACCUAUAUGCUCUAGACUCAAUCUUAAAAGUGCAAGUGAUGCAACUACAUGUUUCUUUUUUGUGUUUUUCGAUUUUUUUAAUUUUUUUUUUUUUAGCAUAUAUAUAUGUACAAUGCAAUGCAUGAGACUCAAAUCAUCAAAGAAAACAUAUUAAAUACUUGAUGCCUCCCCCAAACUUAGUUCACACAGUCUCUGUGUUAGGAAGUUGGAGGAGAUACCGAAAACAAUUGCGAAGAAAAACUGGUAUAUACAAUGGAAAGUUAGUGGAGUACCUGUCUAAGCGUUCGGGAAGAAACCCGAGUCCCCAUAUCCGGAGUCAUCAGGGAAGGUAGUGUAGUAUUCUUGGGGCGCGCUGGCAACUUCCUCGUUGUCGGUUUCAGCAUCGGUUGAGGCAAGGGAAGGAGACUUAUUCCCGGAGUUGGAUUUAUGAGCUUGGGGGUUUCGUGCCAGGCGCAAGAGCUGUCGGGCAGUAAGGGGAGGUCCAAGGUCCAAGGAAGGGUUGGUGACAGGGUCAUAGGGCUGAGGUUGAGGAACUGAGGUAUCUCUAGUAACAAAGUCUUCAGAUCUACAUCCUCCUACUCCUCCUCUAACCAAAAGAUCAGCCACCUUCUUCAUGAAUUGAGCUGAAGCUUCAGCUUGCUUCUUUACUGUCUUUUUAAGUUCCUUGUACUUGGUCUUUAGUUUGAAGAUUGUCCUGUCCUGAGCCUUGUUCCAUCUUUGAAGCUUGUCAAUAUGCUCAUGAGCUUCACGGAGAGGGCCAUGGGGUAAAGCUGUUGAGCUCUGAGUAAAGUGGUAGCGAGGUGGACCAUAAAGUGGGGUAGCAGAUCCUUCUUGUGUAGCAUCACUUGUUCCAGUCAUUACAUGACCUCUCCCUCCACCUCUCCUUCUCUUAGGAGCAGUCACAUGAUCUAUAGGGCCAUGGGGUCCAAAGAGCUCUGAUUCAUCUAUGUCGAAGUGGAUGAUCCCCGGCCUUUCUAUGUUUGUGAGCUUUCUAUUUGGGAGCAGCAACUUAGCCAUCUUUCCCUUGCGGAAGUAGGUGUAGACAACUUUCUCUUGAUACCUUCCACCAAUGUAAGUAGCAAUCCUCAAAUAAGGGGCAUCAAUGAAUGCUGGUCCUUUGGGAUCAUUCCCCAAGUUCACACCAUUUGCUAUCAGCAGUGGAGUUAUCAUACCACCAAUUCCAAGCUGAGGCGAUGAAUCUGCUGUAGUCCAAACCCAAUCCUUGUAGUACAUGAGACGUUCCACAAAGAGACCAACCAUUCCAAAGCGUUUGAAGAUGUCAGUUGUGGGAAACUUCAUCUUAUCAGUCUCCUCAAACUCCUCAAGCUGUUCUGGUGUAACAUUGUCUAUAACAGCCCGAUAGAGUAGUCGCAGCUCUUCUUCAUUGACUGUCCCUGCCUCCUUGCGAGGGUAGAGAGUGUGGACAAGUAUCCUGUGGAGAUAACGCACUGCGGGAUGUCUGAUGGCUGAGUUCUUGUCAUGACCAGUAGCAUGUUGAUUUCCACUUAUCACUCUCCAAACACCAGUAGGAAGCUUCUUGAACCAUGGAAGGGUUUGAUCUUCAUUAUCCUCAAUCCCCAUCAUUGCUCCAAUUUCCUUGAAACUCAUGAAAUAGCUCUUUCCAUUGACCUUAAAUUUGAUUUUGCCCCAUCCAUGUCUCACAUGGUUACCCUCAUAGAAAGAUGCUUCAAGAGUUGCAAGGAACUGAGAAGAAGGUUCCACGUAAGUAGGAUAGGCCAUGGAGUAGAAGCUCUCCAUUUUCAUGUGCUGCAGCAUUGUCCUUACAUCGUUUUCGAUUCCGAGCUCCUCCAUCGUCUUGGGGUCAGCAAAGCGUGUUGGAACCCAAGAAACACCUUUAGCCAAGUGAUGGUGUAGCUCUUCAACUGUUGGUGACUUACUUCUGUCCCUUUCAAGAGCUAUCCCUUUCCCUUUUGACAUCUUGGCUUUUUUUGGUGGAGCUGGUUCUUCUUCUUCCUCAUCUCUAGAAGAAGAUGCCACAGCCUUUCCUGCUCUUUUCUCCUUUUCCGCUGCCUUCCUUGCAUCUAGAACUCGUUGCCUAGAUGUUCUCUCUACUCCUUGUUGGCUUGGCUCAGCAGGUUCUAGAGGUUUUCCUCUUAGUUCGAAUUCGCGUUUUGCAGCUGCUGCUUUCUUAGCCUCCAUGUUCGUCUUGUUUGUCUUUGCCAUUGUACCUAUAUCAUUCAAAUCUUGGUAGAGUAUUAGCAAGAGGCACAAGAUAUGAGUGACAAUGAUUACUCAGGUCUAAGCAAAGCUAGCACAGUCCAAACCAUCCAAACACUGCAUGCCAAACAAUAUUCAACCCCAAUGUGGACAAUUUCGAAAAUUCCCAAUUUUCAAGAACCCUAACUUUUCAAUUUCGGAUUCAACUCACUUCAACCACGAAAUUAGCAACCCAAUAUGAUAUAUAAGCUUUCCCUAGCCAAAUUCUCAAGAAUCAAGCAAGAAACCAAGCUAAAUUUGAGUUUGAAUUUCUAGGGUUCAUGAACCCACGAAAUUCAUCUUUAAAUCACCAUACCUUGCUUGGAUUAGAAUGUAAAGAUGAAUUGACUCAAGAAAAUAGACUACAAGGGCGAAGGCUUGGAUUUUAAGACAAGAAUGGGUUGAUUUGGGGAAAAUUUGAGUGAGUUAUGGGGUUUUUAGAGUUGGGAGAAUUGAGAGAGUGUGUUUGUGUUUGGGGAGGAAGAGAGGAAAACGAGAGAGAGAGAAAAGGGAGCGGGGUGGGUUAGUUUUAGGUCAGGUCGGGGCGUCGGGUAUGGGUCGGGUUUCGGGUUAAGAAGUCAUACCUGGGUGACGUGGAGCGACGACGGUACCUCGCGGCCGCACCCCGCGCCCAGAACGUAUGUCCGUUCCUCAAAAUGACGCGCGACCUCCUGACCCCGCGGUCACACCCCGCGCCAAACCAUCUUCCGAAACUCAAAAUGCCGCGCGACCUACUGACCCCGCUGCAUCACCCCGCGCCAAACCAUCAUUCGAGACUCGAGUAGGGCGCGACGUCUAGACCCCGCGGCCGAACCCCGCUCCAUCUCAGGCUCGAGCUAUCGAGACACGAAACGACUCUAGACCUCGCGGCAACACCCCGCGAGUCCUCUCUUUUUUUUUUUUUUUUUUUUUUUUUUUUUUUUUUUUUUUUAGGGUCCUAGUGAAGUAUGUACAAGGAUAGACAUGGGACUUCCUCCCAAGUGAGCUUGUUUUAAGUCUCUAGCUUGACUUUCUUUCUUUUUGGCUAGGCGGGGAUGGGGUCAGAGAGUGGAACCGAGGUUCUUUCCUCCUCUGGUGUGGCUCCCAUGUAGAGCUUAACCCUCUGUCCAUUGACUGUAAAGUCUCCACCAUUCUUGUUCCAUAACAUGAUUGCCCCAUAUGGCCGAACUUCCUUGAUCUUGAAAGGACCGGACCACCUUGACUUGAGCUUCCCGGGGAACAACUUCAGUCUAGAGUUGUAGAGAAGCACUUGAUCUCCAGCAUUGAAUUCUCUCUUCAAAAUCUUCUUGUCAUGAAAAGCUUUGGUUUUCUCCUUGUAAAUCCUUGAGUUCUCAAAAGCAUCAAGUCGGAUCUCCUCAAGCUCAUUGAGUUGGAGAAGUCUCUUCUCCUUGGCACUCUUGAUAUCAAAAUUCAGCAACUUAACAGCCCACAAUGCCUUGUACUCAAGCUCAACCGGUAGAUGACAAGCCUUCCCAUACACAAGGUUGAAAGGUGUGGUUCCUAAAGGAGUCUUGUAAGCAGUCCUAUAGGCCCAAAGUGCGUCAUCUAGCUUGAUAGACCAAUCUUUCCUUGUAGUCCCCACAGUCUUCUCUAGAAUAGAUUUGAUUUCUCUGUUAGAGAUCUCAACUUGACCACUUGUCUGAGGAUGGUAGGGAGUUGCAACCUUAUGCUUCACACCAUUCUUCUUGAGAAGACUUUCAAACAGCUUGUUGAUGAAGUGAGAGCCUCCAUCACUGAUGACAGCUCUUGGAACUCCAAACCUUGGAAAUAUGGUGCUUUUGAACAUCUUUAUCACCACUCUAGAAUCAUUGGUGGGACUUGCCACAGCUUCUACCCACUUGGAGACAUAGUCAACAGCUACAAGGAUGUAUUUGUUGCCAAAAGAUGAUGGAAAUGGUCCCAUGAAGUCAAUACCCCACACAUCAAACACCUCCACUUCUAGAAUUGGGUUUUGAGGCAUCUCAUUCCUUUUGGUGAUGUUCCCUCUCCUUUGGCAUGAAUCACACCUAGAGACAAAGUCUUGAGUGUCUUUGAACAUAUGAGGCCACCAAAACCCAGCUUGUAACACCUUUGAGACAGUCUUGAAAGUGGCAAAGUGCCCUCCAUAAGAUGAUCCAUGACAGUGUGUGAGGAUCCCUUCAACUUCUUCAUCAGCUACUGCUCUUCUAUAGAGUUGAUCUCUACAAAGGAUGUAGAGGUAAGGUUCAUCCCAAUAGUAUCUCUUCACAUCUUUGUAGAACUUCUUCUUGGCAUAUCCUUCAAGAUCGAGUGGCUCUCUUCCACAGGCUAAGUAAUUCACCAAAUCAGCAUACCAAGGCCCCUUCUCUUCAGUUGCCUUCACCUCUUCAAGCUUCUUUCCAGUUUCACAAACUGCUACCACUGCUCCAAUUGCCAUGAUUUGCUCUUCUGGAAGCCCUUCAUCAAUAGGGAUCCCACUCUCAAUCUUUAGUCUAGACAAGUGAUCAGCUACACCAUUCUCAACUCCUGGCUUGUCUCUAAUUUCAAGGUCAAACUCUUGUAGCAGCAAGAUCCACCUCAACAGUCUUGGUUUAGCAUCCUUCUUGGCCAUGAGGUGUCUCAAUGCAGCAUGGUCAGUGUAGACUAUGACCUUUGACCCAACUAAGUAGCUUCUGAACUUCUCAAAGGCAUAGACAAUGGCUAGCAACUCCUUCUCAGUUGUAGCAUACUUCAUUUGGGCUUCAUCAAGAGUUUUACUUGCAUAGUAGAUCACAUGAGUCUUCUUGUCCUUCUUUUGACCAAGAACGGCUCCCACAGCAUAAUCACUAGCAUCACACAUGAUCUCAAAGAGGAGAUCCCAAUCUGGUGGCUGCACAAUGGGGGCACUAACCAGCUUCUCCUUCAACAUCUUGAAGGCCUGUAGACAUUCCCAAUCAAAAACGAAUGCAGCCUCCUUGCAUAGAAGCUUAGUCAUUGGCCUUGCUAUCAUCGAGAAGUCUUGGAUGAACCUUCUAUAGAAUCCGGCAUGACCGAGGAAGCUUCUAAUGUCUUUAACCGUUUUUGGUGCAGCUAACCCAACCAUCACUUCAAUCUUGGCCUUGUCUACCUCAAUCCCCCUCUCUGAAAUCUUGUGUCCAAGCACAAUCCCUUCCUUUACCAUGAAGUGACACUUCUCCCAGUUCAGCACAAGGUUGGUCUCUUCACAUCUCUUGAGGACCCUGCUAAGAUUUGACAAACAAGCAGAAAACGAAGAUCCGUAGACAGAGAAAUCAUCCAUAAACACCUCCACAACAUCCUCUAUAAGAUCAGAGAAAAUAGACAUCAUGCAUCUUUGGAAAGUGGCUGGAGCAUUACAUAGCCCAAAUGGCAUCCUUCGAUAAGCAAAGGUACCAUAGGGGCAUGUGAAAGUCGUUUUCUCUUGAUCAUUUGGAUGUAUGGGGAUUUGGAAGAACCCUGAAUAUCCAUCAAGAAAACAAUAAUAGGGAUGAUUUGCAAGUCUCUCAAGCAUUUGAUCAAUGAAUGGCAAUGGAAAAUGAUCCUUUCUAGAUGCUUUGUUAAGUUUUCGAUAAUCUAUGCACAUCCUAUGUCCUGUUAUUGUUCUUGUUGGUAUUAGUUCAUCCUUAUCAUUUUUAACCACAGUCAUUCCUCCUUUCUUUGGAACAACAUGCACAGGAGACACCCAUUUGCUAUCCGAAAUAGGAUAGAUGACUCCUGCAUCUAAGAGUUUUAGAAUCUCUUUCUUUACAACAUCCUUCAAGUUGGGGUUCAACCUUCUUUGAUGUUCUAUAGAAGUCAUAGAUUCAUCCUCUAGAUGUAUCCUAUGCAUGCAUAAAGAAGGUGAUAACCCUUUAAUAUCAUCUAGUGAGUAGCCUAUUGCCUUUCUAUACUUUCUAAGUUCAUUCAAAAGUUUAGACAAUUCAUCUUCACUAAGCUCACUACUCACUAUGACAGGGUAAGUUUCAUUAGGGCCAAGGAAAGCAUACCUUACACCAUGGGGAAGAGGUUUAAGCUCCACUUUUGGUGCUUUGAGUUCACUCCAAUCAUCCUCUUGGAGGUUCUCUUGUUGAGUAGCUGAGAAAGCAUGAUGAUCCUCAUAUGAAAGCUCCUCAUUCUGUUCUUCAUCACUAAUCUCCGUGUGAGAGUCCAGCAUCUUCACAUAAGCAUCACUUUCCUUGUUCUCGACCAUUUGGACCUCUCUCUCAAUUGUUAAGGCAUGUUGUAGAGAGUCUUCAAGUGCCAACUCCUCUAGAAGUUCAUCAGCUAAAACCUCCAUCUCCUCAAUGUAGAAUGCUUGGCUUUGUGUAAUAGGCUUCUUCAUCACCUCCUUGAUGUCAAAGUGAAGAAUGUUUCCCUUUCCAAGGUGAAGAUCAAUCUUCCCUUCCUUAACAUUCACAACUGCUCCUGCUGUAGCCAAGAAAGGUCUCCCCAAUAUCAAAGGAUCUGUUGGUUCUUCAUCCAUCUCCAACACCACAAAGUCUGUAGGAAUCUCACAAUUUCCAACCAUAACAGGGAGAUCUUCUAGGAUACCAAUGGGAAUCUUCACUGAGCGAUCAGCUAGCACAAGAGAGAGUCUACAUUUCUUGUAUUGUGUAAAGCCAAGCCUUUUAGCAAUGGAGAGAGGCAUAAGGCUCACACUUGCUCCCAAAUCGCAUAGACACCUCUCAAAAGCAAAUUGCCCAAUGGCACAAGGUAAAGUGAAGCUUCCUGGAUCUUCAAGCUUCUUAGGGAUGGUUAGCCUUUGGAUAAUAGCGCUACACUCAUGAGUAAGAACCACCAUGCCUUCCAUCUCCUUCUUCUUCUUAGUUACAGCAUCUUUGAGGAACUUGCUGUAUUGAGGCACUAGCAUGAAGGCAUCAAUUAUGGGCAUAGUAAUCUGAACUUCACUCAUUUGCUUCUCAAAUAAGGCUUUGUAUUGCUCCAAAAGCUGUCUCUUGAAUCUACCGGGAAAAGGAAGUUUUGGUUCAUAGGGAGGAGGAUUGAAUAGAGCUCCUUUUGAUGAAGUUGCAGCUUCAUUCUUGUUCUCCCCCUUCUUUUCUUCUCCAAUUUUACCCUUUCCUUUUGCUUCAACUAUUUUCUCCAAGAUCUCCUCAUUGGUUUUCUCAUCCAUAAUAACCACAUCAUCAUCCACAUUGAUGACUACCUCCCCAUCUUGCUUCUCAUUAUCCCUAAUGAGAGUUCUUGGUGGUAGCUGUUUUCCACUCCUAAGGGUGAUGGCUUUCAUUGUUUCCUUGGGAUUUUGCUCUGGCUUUCCAGGUAAUGCCCCUUGUUGGCGACUUGGCUGAGAGUUCAUGGAAGCAAACUGAUUCUCCAAAUGUCGGAUCUUGUUGUUGAGCUCAUUGUAGCUUCCAUCGAUCUUGGAGUGAAUUUUCGUGAACUCAUAACCCAUUGUCUUCUCAUUCUUGGCCUGAAAAUCCAAAAGUUUCUUGAACAUUGCAUCCACACUUGUAUCUGAAGUUGGAGCUUGUGAAGAACUUCCUUGAGCUUGAGUAGACUGAUUGUUGGUAUUAUUGAAACCAGGAGGGGUGUUUUGCCUAGGCUGAUAGUUCCCUUGGUGAGUGUUUUGCCUCUGCUGGUAUCCUCCUUGCUGGUUGUUUGAGUAGGACUUUUGUUGGUAGUUGUUGUACUGAAAGUUAGGCUCCUUCCUGUACCAAGAACCAUUGUUAUUGAUGAAGCACAGCUCUUCUUGUCCUUCCAAACCAUCAACCUCAUUAAUCUUAGGAGGAAUCUCUUGAAUAGGACCACCCACAAAGUUGACCUGCUCUUGUUUAGCUUGGUUAGAAAGAAGCAAGUCCAUCUUCUCCUGCAAGGACUUGAUCUCUUUCUUUGUCUGGUGAUCAUCAUUUCUGUUGACCCUAUCAUGCUCUCGCUAUAGACGGAGUCGCUCUUAGCCAUGUUCUCCACCAGUUCCUCUGCUUCUUCUUCAGUCCUCCCCAAGAAGAAACCAUUGCUUGCAGUAUCAAGCCUGUUUCUGCACUGUGGUAAAGCUCCUCUAUAGAAAGUGCUUAGCAAACUCUCCUUGCUGAAACCAUGAUGGGGACAUUGAGACCAAUAGCCCUUGAACCUCUCCCAUGCUUCACUGAAGCUCUCUAGACCUUUUUGUUGAAACCCGGAGAUUUCGUUUCUGAUCUUAGCUGUCCUUGAAGUAGAGAAGAACUUUUCUAGGAAAGCUCUCUUGCAAUCUUCCCAAGUAGUGACUGUGUCACUUGGAAGAGUCUUCUCCCAUUGGUGUGCUUUGUCUCCCAAAGAGAAAGGAAAUAGCUUCAGCUUGAAAGCAUCUUCUGAAACACCAUUAGUCUUGGACAAGCCACAGUACUGAUCAAACUUGUACAAGUGAUCAAAAGGGUCCUCAGCAGCUAGACCAUGAUACUUGUUGUUCUCUAUAGUGUUGAGCAGCCCUGACUUGAUCUCGAAGUUGUUGUUCUCCACAGCUGGUGCUCUGAUUCCCAACCUAUGACCAUGAAUGUGAGGUUGAUCAUAGGCUCCAAUGGCACGAGCUUGGCGCUGUGGAUGUUGUGGCUGGCGCUGUGGUCUAAAAGGAUCAACUCUUGGACCAUUGCCUCCUUGGACUUCACCAUCUUGAGGCAGAUUCUCCAUAUCAAGCUCCAACCUUUGCAAGUGAGCCUGUUGCUCUACUUCUCUUCUUUGUCUUGCUAUCUCCCUCUCAAGUGCUCUAAUGUCUUCAACUCUUGGAACUAGGUUUGUUGGACCUCUGCUCCUUGUGUUCAUACACCUGAAAUGCAAAGGGAGAAGGACAAAGAGAAGCAAUAACACAAUUAAAUAAAAAUUGACUUAGUCUCAAGCAAAUGACUAAAUCCCAAUGUCACAAUCAACUUAGAAUUUGGCAACGGCGCCAAUUUGAUGAAGGAGUUUCAAGGCUCCUAAUCAAAUGUUGUAGUAUAAAGGAUGUCAAACCAGUUCUAAGUGAUUCUAAAGCAAAGGGAAUGCAAGACCAUGCUUAAUCUAAGUGCUACCAGUUUUUGAGAUGUUUUUAAACUAGAUUACUACCUAAAAUGCAAUAAAGGACAAAGCUUUCUUUCUUAUAAGAAGGGAGAACUCAUGGGCUAUGGGAAUCGAUCUUGGGUGAUCAAGAUUCAACCUAAAGGUGUCAACUUUGAACCAAUCUAUAUCUACCUUAGACCUAGACACAAUCCUAAACAAACUCUAUCCCUAGAUGAAUGCUCAUUUACCUAGAUAACUCAAGCAUCAAAUCCCUUUGGUUGAAUGUUAUCUAGGUAAUCAUUAAUCACAAGUCUACUAGCCAUCUUAACACCUUUAACAACAAAUCCCUUUGGUAAAGGAUGUUAAAAGCUUAGGAGAGUUGGUUCAGGCAUUUCAUCAAACACCUUCCGGGUAUGAAAUGCCUAGAGCUCAACUUUAGAGAGGCCAACUCUAAAGUUGCAUUAAAAGCCCUCUACUAGCAAGGAAUAAGAUUGAUCUACACCUAAACACCUUAGAUCUAGCUUAAUCACCCUUAAUCUCCCUAACCCAUGAAUCCAAAGAUGACUACUCACUACUUUCCAUGAUGAGCCCAAGAAUCAAAGAUGAUUUGGUGCUAAUCAUGAUUAGUGAUCAAGAUAAUCAAGCAAUCACAAGAGAAAAAUGAUCAAGAUAGGAUCUUUCACCUAAAAGUUCUUUUGUGAUUAGAUAGAAAACAAGAUAAGAUCCUACAAUUAGGUUUAGAGAGUAUUUAUGUGACUUCUAAAACCUAAUGGGCUUAAUUAAUCACUUCAAAAGCCCAAAUAAAACAUAAGUUUUCGACAUAAGAUAAAACGCGGCGCGGGUGCACUAGGUCGCUCCCAUAGGUCGCUCCGAAACACAUGCUUCACCUCUCCAAAACGCGCGCGGGUUGAUGACGUCGCUCCAGAGGUCGCUCUGCAUCCGCCGCGGGUGAGUGACGUCGCUGCCAUAGGUCGCUCCGCAUAAUGAAAGUCGUCGACAAGAAGUUGGGCUUGGAGCGGGUGUAUCACCUCGGUGCAAGACGUCGCGCCAGCCUUCGAUUCUUCUGGAGCGGGUGUAUCACCUCGGUGCAAGACGUCGCGCCAGCCUUCGAUUCUUCUGGAGCGGGUGUAUCACCUCGGUGCAAGACGUCGCGCCAGCCUUCGAUUCUUCUGGAGCGGGUGUCGCACGUCGCUCCCGUACCCCGCUCUGGUGCUUUGCUCGCCUAAACAGCAUUUUCCACUCCCUUUUUGAUCCCAAAUGCUUCCAAGUACCCCUAAUAUCUCCAAUGGAAACUCCAAAACCUGAUAGAGACUUAUGCAGUGCAAAAAGAGACUAAAAUGCAUGAUUCCUAAUCUAGAUGAUCAAAACAUGCAAGAAAUAGAGGGUUAAAACAAUGUAAUUAUGCAAGAUAUCAUUCCGGUUCAUAGUUUGACAUGCACGAUCACCGUUACCCUAAAAGGAAAUUAUGGCUUACGGGUUACAUGAUCAUGUAAAAAAAAAACUAAAGAAAAUAUACAUGUAUAUCUCGAUAUUUUUCCUAUGAGUGAGAUUUGAGUUAUAAGUAGAUCGAGCUAUAGACAUCGUGUGCAACUUAUCGUUUAGGUAUAAUUCGACAUUAUUCAUAUUCUGAGUAGCCAUUCGAAAACACCAUUUUAGACAUCCUUCUUUGGGUUUAACAGUUUUUUUUUUCAAUAUCCCGCAGUUAUCAACUUCAUUAGCGGUAAAGUGAUUCACAAAGGUACUUCGGUUGACAAAUGUGACUUAGUUAGGUGCUUUUUGUUUGUUUAUUGAGGGUGUAAUUAGUGCUACGAUCGGGUACUACUAAGAGAGGAAUUUUAGUUACCUUGUAGAAAAUAGUAAGCUAUGUUUAUAUUCUAUGCAAAACAUACACAGAAAUAUCUACACUACGUUUGCAACUUAACACACCAAAAAUGUAUCGUUUCAAAUUAAGAAUAAAAAUAUAGGAGUUGGGAAUUUAUGAGGAAACUUCUGUACUACAAAGAAAGAAAAAAAGAAAUUAUGAGGAAACUAGCCAAAACAGCCGAAAUAUAAACGAGGAAGCCAAGCUCAUGACUUGACAUGUAAUAGGAGGCCGUUGAAAGCUUUAGUUAUUGAAAUUGUUUUUGUUUUCUUUUGGGGUCAACUUGGUGUAUUAGUUCAAAGACUUAACAUGUCUAUAAGUGCAAGCAUGCCGCAUGAGGUAAAGAACAAACUUCAUAAGGUAAAGAAGUGUAUAAAUAUUAAAACAUUAAUUAUGUUAGUUAUAAUUUAUAAAUACACUAUUUAAUCAUAUUAAACAAUUUCCCAUGACACGGAUCGCAUGAUUAUAUAAUCCGGAGACAUCCAAAGACUAAAAAAUAUCCAGUAAAUCCCAUUUCAUAAAUCUGACUUGGGAUAUGAACAUAGGAGGCUAUUUUAAAUUGUUUGUAAUAAAAAUAGAACUAUAAUAAAGUUGUGUGAGGGAGGUUGGUUAGUAAUGUGUAUAUUUUGUGUUAUAUAUCCAAAAAUGGGAGUUGGAGUUAAUGUGAGUAUUAAAGUUGCAUCGGCAUUCAUCAAUUCAUCAACCUCCCCUUCUCCCAUCUUUAAUUGUCUUUAUUGUCUCUCCAUUUAUUGACCUCUCCAUUUUUCCAAACUCUUCUUCCUUCAUAUACACCAUUCUUAUCACCAUGCAUACAUUCAUGAUACAUAUAUACAUCCAUAUGACUUCACCAACAAUCUGGUUCAUCCUUUUUAGAUUUUAACAAUAUAUCAAAGAGCAUGAAGUAAUUAAAGAUGAUUUGUGAUGACAAUAAGAUGAUGAUGGUGGUGGUGGUGGUAGAGGAGAAAGGGAAAACCAGAAAGAGAAAUCGGUUAGCACUUCACAUCUAAGCAUUUAAAUGAGACUGGUUGGAGUUAUUGAAGACACCCAACUUGGAACUCACACAUCAUACUUCACAUUACUUCCCUCUCUUUUUUUUAUUCCUCCAAAAAUCCAAAUUAAGAUGCAGCAGUCGGCAGAUCACGUUUAUUGCCUAGUAAAUCUUUGAAAAUUCUAAAUAUUUAUAUUUUUUUUUUAUUCAAGAGUAUCUAAUUUAUCAACCAUUAAUAAAUUCUUAUAUUGGUAUCUAAUUCAAUUACUCCAUAUGAACCGGUGGAGACAAUAACUCCCCUGAAGAUUUUCCUACAUGUAUAUAAAUAGAGACGACCUUUACAUACUUUUCAAGUCUAUCUGCUCAUUUCCUCACAAGAUCAGAGAGAGAUUAAACUUCCCUUGUAAGCAUAAAUUACUCAGUGGAAAUAAAGACUGAGGCUAAUGGUUUCUCGACAAGAAGGAACCCUUUUCUCCAGAAAGAGGGAUUUUACAACCUAUGGAGAAGAGUUUCACAAUUCAUUCAAGAAGAUCAAACAAGACGAUCAAUCACUGGGAAAACUUCAGAGCACCAUGUUCAGUGAACGAUCAAACUCAGAGAGUAUGAGAUCAGUUACCUUUGAUUUUGAACUUCAACUCCACACUCCUCUAACCACAGAAACUAAGGUAUAUAUUCAUAUAUGUGUUCAGUUUUUUUUUUUUGUUGUAAUUAUCAAUAUAUAUGUUAUAUGCACAUAAACAUGCAUCUAAAACAUGAUUUUUUAUGUUUUCAGGGCUAUUCCAAAACAUCUGAGGAUCAAAGGACAUACCCCAAAGAUUCACUGCUUGUUGAGCGACCAAAGAUGAGCCUAGACCUUGAGCUGAACCUCUCACCUUCUUAUUCACCUACAAAUACCACAACGAAAAUAGAGGAAUCCUCAAAUCACAAUGAAACCGUGUCAUCGUCGAAGGGUAAGAAUUUGACAAGCCCUAGUAAGAAGACCACGACUGGGACAGGACAAAACCGAUCAUUGUCAUGGCUUGCGUUCGAAGGUGGUGAUGAUGAUGUUGAUCACAAGGAGCAAGAGAUGGUAACAAAAGUGUGCAUGAAAUGCCACAUGCUGGUUAUGUUGUGCACAUCAACUCCUGUUU